CUUCGAUCUCCUUCUAAUCUAAAAAAUUCAUUCCAAGCGUAGUUUUCAUAUAACUGGAGGACAGUUGUUUGAGGAGGGGAGGAGGAUUGGAAACAGUUUGUUUUCUCUUCCCUCGUUCCUCUCAGUGGAUUCAGUGGAUAAAGAGCAGGCACACAUUACAAUAAACAUUUUUAUGGUCCCCAACAUUAGGCAUAUAAAUCCUACCUGUCUUCACACACUUACACACUAAAACUCCCACAGAAAGGGGGAAAAUUAGAAAAGGGGUGAUAUAAUUUGACUCUGUGUCACCACCCAAAUCUCAUCUUGAAUUGUAAUCCCCGUAAUUUCUCACCUGGCAAGAGUGGGACCAGGUGGAGACAAUUGGAUCAUGGGGGCAGUUUUCCCCAUGCUCUUCUCGUGAUAAUGAUUGAGUCUCAUGGGAUCUGAUGAUUCUAUAAGUGUCUGGCUUUUCUCCUACUUGCACUCACUCCAUCCUGCCACCCUGCGAGGAAGGUGCCUGCUUCUUCUUUGCCUUCCGCCGUGAGUGUGAGUCUCCUGAGGCCUCCCCAGCAAUGUGGAACUGGAUACGUCAUGGAACAGAGGGCAACCUGCCUCCUGGAAAUGUGGAGUGUCUAGGGAGUCACAGCUGAGAUCUUCCUUGGAUUAAAGGCUGCGGGUGUCACAAACAGGAUGCUGUAACAACACCAUAAACUUUCAAACAACUCUAUUUCCUACGGUUCUGGAGGCUGGAAGUCCACAAUCAAAGUGUCAUGUUGUCAGGUUGUGGUGAGGGCCCUCUUUUGGGUGUAGAUUGCUAACUUUUCUGUAUGUGUUCACAUGGCAGAAAGAGAUUGAGCUAGCUCUUGGAUCCUUUCUUAUAAGGGCACCAAUCCCAAUACAGAGGCUUCACUCUCAUGACAUAAUUGUCUCCCAAAGACUCUACCUCCAAAUAUUAUCAAUCACAUUAGGGGAUAGAUUUUAACACAUGAUUUUGGGGGGAACACAUUCAGUCCAUAACAUUUCUUGAGUCUUCUUCUAGGACCCAUAGGUUAUUUUAAAAGUGGCUUGUUCAGUUCCAAGUGUUUGAAGAUUUUUUUUUUCUGUUAUCUUUAACUUACUGAUUUCUAGAUAGACCCCAUUGUGCUCAGAGAACACUCCUUAUGUGAUUUCAAUUAUUUUAAAUUUGUUGAGAUUUUAUGACUUAGUAUGUCAUCUGUCUUGGUGUGUAUUCUGUGGGGGGGAUGGGGGGUGCUUGAAAAACGGGUAUUCUGCUAUUAUAGAAUGUCAAAAUAUCAACUGUAAUAAACAAGAAAAAUAAUCCUAGUCUUUUAUUUAAGGGCCCUCUUUAGUCCAUCUCAACAGACCCUUCUCCGAAGGGGAAAGAAAUGCAGCUCACAAGAGCCCAUUAAACAACUAAAACAAGACAAAAUAAAACAACUACCCCCUGCCAAUUUGCACACUGUUACUUCUUUUGUUUUCCCAAUCUUAUUUCUUCUUCUUUUUUAUAAUAAAAAAUUUCAAAGCAAUUAUCUGCUUUCUUACUUCCCCUUGACUUUGCCUAUGUUUAGUUUUACUUUCUAUGAUUGGCCAUCAACAAUUAGGCACAAACCAUUCUGAACUUCCUCUUCACACUUACUCAAGUGGGAAAGCUGCUGUUUACAAAGUUGCAAACUAGAAAGUGCUAAAUUGAUGUUGUACAUUUGCAAGCAUUCACGUUGAAAAAAAGAUGCAAAAGAAGACAGGUGAGACAUCUUGGGAAGUGAUGUGAG
rnacentral:lncRNA from 10 species